rnacentral:rRNA from 1 species
CACGCAGGCGGUCGUGUAAGUUUGGGUUACAGCUCCCGGCUCAACUGGGAGAGCGCCUUGAAGACUGCAGGACUUGAGGGCCAGAGAGGGACACAGAAUUCCGGGUGUAGUGGUGAAAUGCGUAGAUAUCCGGAGGAAUACCAAAGGCGAAGGCAGUGUCCUGGCUGGUGACUGACGCUGAGGUGCGAAAGCUAGGGGAGCGAACGGGAUUAGAUACCCCGGUAGUCCUAGCCGUAAACGAUGACCACUAGGUGUGGGAGGUAUCGACCCCUUCCGUGCCGCAGCUAACGUGAUAAGUGGUCCGCCUGGGGAGUACGGUCGCAAGAUUAAA